rnacentral:rRNA from 1 species
GACGAACGCUGGCGGCGUGCUUAACACAUGCAAGUCGAACGGAAAGGCCCUGCUUUUGUGGGGUGCUCGAGUGGCGAACGGGUGAGUAACACGUGAGUAACCUGCCCUUGACUUUGGGAUAACUUCAGGAAACUGGGGCUAAUACCGGAUAGGAGCUCCUGCUGCAUGGUGGUGGUUGGAAAGUUUCGGCGGUUGGGGAUGGACUCGCGGCUUAUCAGCUUGUUGGUGGGGUAGUGGCUUACCAAUGCUUUGACGGGUAGCCGGCCUGAGAGGGUGACCGGCCGCAUUGGCACUGAGAGACGGCCCAGACUGCUACGGCAGGAAGAAGUGGGGAAUAUAGAACGACGGGCCGAGGCCCGAUGCAGCAACGCCGCGUGCGGGAUGACGGCCUUCGGGUGGUAAACUGAUUUCGCCUGUGACGCAGAGUGAGUGACUGUAAUGGGUAAAGAAGCACCGGCUAACUACGU